rnacentral:rRNA from 1 species
CUGAUGGGUUGUUGCUGGCUCUUCAGGGAGCAUGUGCACGCCUUGUCAUCUUUAUAUCUCCACCUGUGCAUCUUUUGUANACCCUUUCAGGGUCUAUGUUGCUUCNUUUACCCCAAUGUAUGUCAAUAGAAUGUUGUGCCUAUUAUAAUGUAUACAACUUUNAGGUACGGAUCUCUUGGCUCUCGCAUCGAUGAAGAACGCAGCGAAAUGCGAUAAGUAAUGUGAAUUGCAGAAUUCAGUGAAUCAUCGAAUCUUUNAACGCACCUUGCGCUCCUUGGUAUUCCGAGGAGCAUGCCUGUUUGAGUGUCAUUAAUACAUAUAUCAACCUUCCCUUUUGGUGAAUGGUUUGGAUGUGGGGGUUUGCUGGCCUCUNAAGAGUUCAGCUCCCCUGAAAUGGAUUAGCGGAACAACCUGUUCAUUGGUGUGAUAAAUAUCUAUGCGUGAAUGUGAGGGGCAUUCACUUUCUACACCUUGNACAAAUCAUCAUUAAUGUGACCUCNAAUCAGGUAGGACUACCCGCUGAACUUAAGCAUAUCAA